AAUAGAUACCCAGGUAGUCCACGCCGUAAACGUUGGAUACUAGGUGUGGCGGUUAUACCAAUGACUGCCGUGCCGAAGCUAACGCAUUAAGUAUCCCGCCUGGGGAGUACGGCCGCAAGGCUAAAACUCAAAGGAAUUGACGGGUCCCCGCACAAGCGGCGGAGCAUGCGGCUUAAUUCGAUGCAACCCGAAGAACCUUACCUGGGUUUGACAUCACGGGAAAAGCUGUAGAAAUACGGUGUCCAUUAGGGCCCGUGACAGGUGGUGCAUGGCUGUCGUCAGCUCGUGUCGUGAGAUGUUGGGUUAAGUCCCGCAACGAGCGCAACCCUUGUCCUAUGUUGCCAGCGGUUCGGCCGGGGGACUCAUAGGAGACUGCCGGGGAUAACUCGGAGGAAGGUGAGGACGACGUCAAGUCAUCAUGCCCCUUAUAUCCAGGGCUGCACGCAUGCUACAAUGGCCGGUACAACGGGCAGCGACCCCGCGAGGGUGAGCGAAUCCUAAAAAGCCGGUCCUAGUUCGGAUUGAAGUCUGCAACUCGACUUC
rnacentral:rRNA from 1 species